AACCUGAGUAACCCUCACUGAUCUUCCAGCACUGGGCAACUCAGCCCUGGUCAGAUGGCCAGCACCCAUCUUUGCAGGAAAUUGGAGGGGAAGGCCCUUGGACUGGCCUGAAACAUUGGAUGUCUUGUGCUGUUUUUAUUUGAAUAAUGCUGAAAAGUUAAAAUGAAAGCAAGAAGCAGCCACCAUCUCCCCACUUUAAAUAUUUAUACCCAGUAAAAAGUAGCAAUCAAGCCU
rnacentral:lncRNA from 1 species